ACGAACGCUGGCGGCGUGCUUAACACAUGCAAGUCGAGCGAUGAAACUACUUCGGUAGUGAAUUAGCGGCGAACGGGUGAGGAACACGUGAGGAAUCUGCCUUCUACACUGGGAUAACUCCGGGAAACCGGGGCUAAUACCGGAUAUGAAACUUGGUGGCAUCACCGAGUUUGGAAAGUUUUUCGGUAGAAGAUGACCUCGCGGCCUAUCAGCUUGUUGGUGAGGUAAUGGCUCACCAAGGCGACGACGGGUAGCCGGCCUGAGAGGGCGACCGGCCACACUGGGACUGAGACACGGCCCAGACUCCUACGGGAGGCAGCAGUGGGGAAUAUUGGGCAAUGGAGGAAACUCUGACCCAGCGACGCCGCGUGCGGGAUGAAGGCCUUCGGGUUGUAAACCGCUUUCAGUAGGGAAGAAGCGAAAGUGACGGUACCUACAGAA
rnacentral:rRNA from 1 species